UUAUUCUGAAGUCUCACGAGAUUUUGCGAGAUUCCCUGUGUUCACAGUCGAGACUCUAGGCUUGUUUGAGAUGCACCUUGCCUCGCCUAAAUGUAGGCAAGAGUAGGUGGCUGCAGUAAGGGGAGGGGUCAAAAACAACCUUUAAAGUCGGACACUUCCUGAAUCUCGCUGUUUUGUCGGCUGCAAACGUCAGCAAUGGAGAUCGUCGCGUUUUUUUUAUCGCAGACGAAGUGGAUGUAAUCGAAAUACCACUGUUUUGUCAUCAUGUGCAGAUCACGUCCAUAAUAUUUUUUUCAAACUAUGCAAGUCAAAGCUGUUUUGUAGUAAACAUUCUUCAGAAUUUCUUCCCUUGUUUUAAGAAAGUCCCUGACACUUCUCAGAUGAAACCACACAAAGAUUGCAUAAUGAUAGCAUAAUAAGAGGCACAAAGAUAGCAUAAUAAGAGGCAUAAUGGCUAAACAGUCCAUUUAGAUAUGUAUGUGUGCAUGUAUAUUUUUAAUGGAUUGAUUUAUUUAUACACACAAACAUACAAUAGAAUAAAGUGAAAGUUACAACAAGGAAGGAUUCUGAUUACAAGAAAAAUAAAAUAAAUGCGUGUUCUAAUUCUUAACUUCACUAGGCGUGUUUUGUUUUUGUUUAGUUCGCAUCUAAAUAUAAAUAAAUAAUUGGGUAAUCUAAUUCUUAGAAUAAAGAGAAAAUGUAUCAGUUGACAUUCUCAGCCAAUGAGCAUGAAGCUGUGUCGUCAGUCAGUCGUUUCCCAUCAUGCUUUUGAUCAGCGCAGUCGGUGGAGAGCAACUGUGCUCGACUGCUCAAUCCGACACAGCCGCUUCGCCGUCGCGAGAGUUUUUUGGAACACGUCAGCAUGACUUCAGAGCAAAGCGGACGUAACUCGGACACUUUUCUAACCGGCAUGCAUCUCGCGCUGAUCACCGGUGGUCGCCUUCUGUUUGAAAAUCUGUUUGUGUGUGACGUGCUGUCUUUGUGACAUCAUGGCACAUCACA